UAUGAAUUCUUAACUCAAAAUAAUUUGCUAAUUUUCGUGAUUUUUCCGUAUUUUGUCAAUAUUUGAACUUUAAAUGCUUAUAAAUAAAAACUGUGACAAAGGAUUUUUAAUUUUUUUCAUCUGCCUUUGAAACAAUAACCUAGGAGCCUUCUAUUAAAUUUUAAAGCUUUUUUACUCAAGAGAUAAAAUUUGAUUGAUAUUUAUAGAAAAAAAAACUAAAAAAAUGGAAAACUGACAAUUUCCGUAAACAGCUCAAAAAGAGUCAAAAUAUUUUCAAUGGUGUAUAGAAAAUGCUAUUAUAAACAUUCAGUCAAAAUUUCAUGUCCCUACGGUCAUUUGUUUUAGAGUUACAACAAAAACCAAAAUCGAUUUUCUCAAAAACAGAUUUUGCGUAAAAAUUCCCGUUUUUCCUUAAUUUUUCUUUUGUUUUUCGCGUCGCUUUUGAAAAUAACUGGGAAAUUUUUACUUUUGACUCCCCAAAGUACCAACUAGAUUCACUUUCCUAUCAGAAAAGUUAAUGUCGAAGAAAAUCCAAGCACUUUUACUGUCCUAAAAGGUGAUGAAAGACACAAAAAUAAAAAAAAAAAUAAAAAAAAAAACACACAUCAUUGUAAAAUCAAUACAUUUAUCGCUUCGCUCAGAAUCUAAAAGGUGUUCAGUGUUCACCACAGUAUAUUAUAAUAUUAUACUAUUAUAACUUAUUUGUGCCAUUUUUAUUUAACAUUAAUAAAAAAACAUUCACUUUAAUCACUAGUCCUAUGUUUUGUCUAUUUAGCAUUAGCGAUAAACUGUCUUAAAUCGCAGCCUAAUUGGAUGGAAAAAUUGCCAGUCAAGAUCAAAUCUUUAGGAUCGGAUUCAUUAUUUUUGCCAGGUACCUACACGUGACUUUGGAGCAUAUAAUACUACGCAAAAACUUCCGAUUUAUUUUGAAAAGUAUGUCUAUACUCAAGCCGUUGACGUUUCGAGUGAACUAUGCCACGAAGCUCGAUAUCUGGAUCUGAGAGGCUAUAAAAACAUUUGUAGAAGCAACAAAUGAAAUUGUCAUCGUCAAAUUUCACAAAUUCCAAACGGGUUUUUCGAAAAAUCCGUCAGUGCACUUUGAAUUAUAUCAAUCUGUGACGUUUUACCUGGGCAAUCAUAUGGCUGAAAUCGGAUGGAAUAAGUCGCUGAAAGAUUUACAAACUGAAGGACGGAGGGUAAUUUAUUGUGACUUACAACCAUUUGCUGAUGACAGCAGUAUAUGCUAAUUAUUAUGAAAACCUAUGGACAUCUGUUCCUCGAUACUGACCAAAUGCUCAGAAAUUAACGAAAUUUCAAG